GCCAUGGUGUACGACCAAGUUGUGCACAUUUUUUAUUUUUAAGUCUCAGCAGGCUAAGCAAUAUGUCUAAAUACUUCACUGGAUUAAAGAUGUGUAUCUGCUGGGCACAUGUAUAGACUAUAUAAUGGAGCAGACAACUGAAGCCAGUAUGUAGUUUAAAAAGAACACAAGAAAAGACAAGCUGAGUAAACUGACAUUUUGCGCAUAACACAUUUUGCUAGGCAUAGGUGACUAAAGAGUAGUUCCGUGGCAGCUCCAUUGCUGUUUGUGUAUCAAGAUCCAUGAAAUAUAGCUGAAUGAAUCAGACAGGGCUAGUGCCUAUGUAGGUCUUAGAGCAAAGCUUAAAUCUGAGAUAGCCUUUCAGUCAUGACAUAUACAGGUGCUGCAUAUGAUUACACCAAGCAUAUAACAAGCAUGUAAAACAGAACUACUAAAAUUAAUAGAACCACUGGAGUCUCGUUAUGUAAGCCCUGCAGUCCCCUGGGCACAGCGCUUUGGGAUUGCUGUCAAGUGCAUGCUUACAAGCCCCUCUAUUUUGCAAGAUUCGGCUCACUUUUGCUGCUGGCUCAUUUGAAGGAGGCAACAGCAGAGUUCUGGCAAGAUGGAGAGUCCGGCAGGUACCAUUCUGCCAGACCUAGGUCAUGUAGGAAUCCACAUCCAGUGCCCAUGGUUUUGGAUCCACUAGGGGCCAGCAACUGAGAUCCCGGGUGGGGUGACCUGUCCAGGUGUUGGGCUGCAGUGUGAGAAACAUCCUCGCAGGGCUCUAUGCCCAGGAAGUCGGUCAUGGGGACUGGUCCUGAUCACUGAGUGCCAAAGUUUGGGCAGCCAAUCGCUCCGCUGGUUGCUGGUGUGGUAAGACAGUCCGGGGAUGGGUGCUUCAGCCAGCAUCGAGCAGUGAUGUUCUAUCUGCCAGGUGUGUAUCGACAUGCCCAGUACAGGCCGCGAGGUCGCCAUUUAGUCUGUGAGGAUUGGGAGUCCGAGAGUGUGGUAGGUGCAGUGUUCUUGAAGUGUCGGAUCCCUCCAGUGGGGACCGGGAUAACUGUCACCGAUCCAUAGGGUGGGAGAACGGGACCUGUGAGGGGUGUCACAGGGCUGCUGUGUAGCUGCUAGAUUUGGGAGCAGGGAGCACCCUGCUGGGAGCACCCUGCUCUUCUCCCAAGUAGGCCGCAGUCUCCAAAGUUUCACGUAGCUCCCAGGGGCCUCAAAACUCCUGAUCUUGGAUUCUGCAGUAGCGCUCACAGCCACCUGGUCACUUUGCUGUACUUCGUGGCUGAUAAUGGGCUUAGUGUGCCAUAAUUCUCAGUCUAAAGGGUCAGAUGUUGCAGGUGCCUCUCCCACAUGCGACCGGUCGG